UAGGGAAUCUUCGGCAAUGGGGGCAACCCUGACCGAGCAACGCCGCGUGAGUGAAGAAGGUUUUCGGAUCGUAAAGCUCUGUUGUAAGAGAAGAACGUGUGUGAGAGUGGAAAGUUCACACAGUGACGGUAACUUACCAGAAAGGGACGGCUAACUACGUGCCAGCAGCCGCGGUAAUACGUAGGUCCCGAGCGUUGUCCGGAUUUAUUGGGCGUAAAGCGAGCGCAGGCGGUUUAAUGAGUCUGAAGUUAAAGGCAGUGGCUUAACCAUUGUUCGCUGUGGAAACUGUUAAACUUGAGUGCAGAAGGGGAGAGUGGAAUUCCAUGUGUAGCGGUGAAAUGCGUAGAUAUAUGGAGGAACACCGGUGGCGAAAGCGGCUCUCUGGUCUGUAACUGACGCUGAGGCUCGAAAGCGUGGGGAGCAAACAGG
rnacentral:rRNA from 1 species